AGGCAGCCUACUUGUUAAAAAAUUGAUGACAUGAGAGGUGUUUAACUGCUCCUAAAUUAAAUUAUGCUUCUGCUCUUCAGACUUGCUGAGAUUUAUUAAUCUUUGAAGCUGGUCUAGUAGUCUUAAGCACAUU
rfam:Brassica oleracea var. oleracea cultivar TO1000 chromosome C9, whole genome shotgun sequence